AACACGGAUCUUUUCAGAUCUAAACAAUUAACACUAAAAAAAAACG
rfam:Glossina palpalis gambiensis isolate 146720 unplaced genomic scaffold Scaffold1, whole genome shotgun sequence.